rnacentral:rRNA from 1 species
AUGCAGUCGAGCGAACGGACGAGAAGCUUGCUUCUCUGAUGUUAGCGGCGGACGGGUGAGUAACACGUGGAUAACCUACCUAUAAGACUGGGAUAACUUCGGGAAACCGGAGCUAAUACCGGAUAAUAUUUUGAACCGCAUGGUUCAAAAGUGAAAGACGGUCUUGCUGUCACUUAUAGAUGGAUCCGCGCUGCAUUAGCUAGUUGGUAAGGUAACGGCUUACCAAGGCAACGAUGCAUAGCCGACCUGAGAGGGUGAUCGGCCACACUGGAACUGAGACACGGUCCAGACUCCUACGGGAGGCAGCAGUAGGGAAUCUUCCGCAAUGGGCGAAAGCCUGACGGAGCAACGCCGCGUGAGUGAUGAAGGUCUUCGGAUCGUAAAACUCUGUUAUUAGGGAAGAACAUAUGUGUAAGUAACUGUGCACAUCUUGACGGUACCUAAUCAGAAAGCCACGGCUAACUACGUGCCAGCAGCCGCGGUAAUACGUAGGUGGCAAGCGUUAUCCGGAAUUAUUGGGCGUAAAGCGCGCGUAGGCGGUUUUUUAAGUCUGAUGUGAAAGCCCACGGCUCAACCGUGGAGGGUCAUUGGAAAACUGGAAAAACUUGAGUGCAGAAGAGGAAAAGUGGAAUUUCCAUGUGUAGCGGUGAAAUGCGCAGAGAUAUGGAGGAACACCAGUGGCGAAGGCGACUUUCUGGUCUGUAACUGACGCUGAUGUGCGAAAGCGUGGGGAUCAAACAGGAUUAGAUACCCUGGUAGUCCACGCCGUAAACGAUGAGUGCUAAGUGUUAGGGGGUUUCCGCCCCUUAGUGCUGCAGCUAACGCAUUAAGCACUCCGCCUGGGGAGUACGACCGCAAGGUUGAAACUCAAAGGAAUUGACGGGGACCCGCACAAGCGGUGGAGCAUGUGGUUUAAUUCGAAGCAACGCGAAGAACCUUACCAAAUCUUGACAUCCUUUGACAACUCUAGAGAUAGAGCUUUCCCCUUCGGGGGACAAAGUGACAGGUGGUGCAUGGUUGUCGUCAGCUCGUGUCGUGAGAUGUUGGGUUAAGUCCCGCAACGAGCGCAACCCUUAAGCUUAGUUGCCAUCAUUAAGUUGGGCACUCUAAGUUGACUGCCGGUGACAAACCGGAGGAAGGUGGGGAUGACGUCAAAUCAUCAUGCCCCUUAUGAUUUGGGCUACACACGUGCUACAAUGGACAAUACAAAGGGCAGCGAAACCGCGAGGUCAAGCAAAUCCCAUAAAGUUGUUCUCAGUUCGGAUUGUAGUCUGCAACUCGACUACAUGAAGCUGGAAUCGCUAGUAAUCGUAGAUCAGCAUGCUACGGUGAAUACGUUCCCGGGUCUUGUACACACCGCCCGUCACACCACGAGAGUUUGUAACACCCGAAGCCGGUGGAGUAACCUUUUAGGA